rnacentral:rRNA from 1 species
CCUACGGGUGGCUGCAGUGGGGGAUAUUGCACAAUGGGGGAAACCCUGAUGCAGCGACGCAGCGUGUGGGAAGACGGUCUUCUGGAUUGUAAACCACUGUCCCAAGGGACGAAAAUGACGGUACCUGGGGAGGAAGCUCCGGCUAACUACGUGACAGCAGCCGCGGUAAUACGUAGGGAGCAAGCGUUGUCCGGAAGUACUGGGUGUAAAGGGAGCGUAGGCGGGGAUGCAAGUUGGGUGUCAAAACUACCGGCUCAACCGAUAGUCGCACUCAAAACUGCAGCGCUUGAGUGAAGUAGAGGCAGGCGGAAUUCCUAGUGUAGCGGUGAAAUGCGUAGAUAUUAGGAGGAACACCGGUGGCGAAGGCGGCCUGCUGGGCUUUUACUGACGCUGAGGCUCGAAAGUGUGGGGAGCAAACAGGAUUAGAUACCCCAGUAGUC